UCUACGGGAGGCAGCAGUGGGGAAUAUUGCACAAUGGGGGAAACCCUGAUGCAGCGACGCCGCGUGAAGGAAGAAGUAUUUCGGUAUGUAAACUUCUAUCAGCAGGGAAGAAAAUGACGGUACCUGACUAAGAAGCCCCGGCUAACUACGUGCCAGCAGCCGCGGUAAUACGUAGGGGGCCAGCGUUAUCCUGAUUUACUGGGUGGAAAGGGAGCGUAGGCGGUUUAGCAAGUCAGAAGUGAAAGCCCGGGGCUCAACUCCGGGACUGCUUUUGAAACUGUAGAGCUUGAGUGCGGGAGGGGCAGGCGGAAUUCCUAGUGUAGCGGUGAAAUGCGUAGAUAUUAGGAGGAACACCGGCGGCGAAGGCGGCCUGCUGGACCGUAACUGACGUUGAGGCUCGAAAGCGUGGGGAGCAAACAGGAUUAGAUACCCGAGUAGUC
rnacentral:rRNA from 1 species